rnacentral:rRNA from 1 species
CCUACAUGAAGUCGGAAUCGCUAGUAAUCGCGGAUCAGCAUGCCGCGGUGAAUACGUUCCCGGGCCUUGUACACACCGCCCGUCACACCACGGGAGUUUGCAACACCCGAAGUCGGUGAGGUAACCGUAAGGAGCCAGCCGCCGAAGGUGGGGUAGAUAACUGGGGUGAAGUCGUAACAAGGUAUCCGUACCGGAAGGUGCGGAUGGAUCACCUCCUUU